AAAACUUUCUACCUGCGCAUAACAUUGGAAUUCCGCCCUGAAAAAGAAUGCUCCUGAAGGAGGUCUUGCUCGCUAGAUCCAGUCUCCUAUGGUCUUCUUACAGAUGCUAUUUGCAUCCUCUAUGCUAAGGUUGUUAGAGAUAUUUUGUCUAGCACAGAAAGAGGUCCUUGCUCUUCUAGUCAAGACACUUUUGGAGCUGAAAAUGGUUCAGAAUGGGUUUUGCUAAACUGAAGAAGAAUAUUGUAGGCAAUGUGUUCAAUACAAAGAAAACAUAAGGCAAUUGAAGAGAACAAUAGAAAGCAAGAAUGCUAUUAUCCAACAACUUACUGAAG